GACAGAGGUGCCAAGCGUUAGGCGGAAUCACUGGGCUUAAAGCGUGUGUAGGCGGAUUCCUAAGUACCUUGUGAAAUCCCACGGCUCAACCGUGGAACUGCUCGGUAUACUGGGUAUCUUGAGCCACUUAGGGGCGACCGGAACAAAUGGUGGAGCGGUGAAAUGCGCAGAUAUUAUUUGGAACGCCAAUGGUGAAAACAGGUCGCUGGGAGUGUGCUGACGCUGAGACACGAAAGCCAGGGGGAGCGAACAGG
rnacentral:rRNA from 1 species